rnacentral:lncRNA from 1 species
AGUCCCUGCACAAGUUCUAGGGGACCAAAGAUCAGUCCUUCCACUACCAGCUCAGAAAUCUACAUCAGAACCCCUACUGUCUCCAUCAACCUCAGAAUCAUAAUUCUUGGAAGAAGGAAAUAUUGCCCUUGAGAGGUUUCAGUCCAUUGUUGGCUGGCUCUAAGGCAGGAGCAUCAUGGCUGAAGGGUGUGGUGCUGGUGGCCAGGAAGCAGAGUGGAGGAACAACUAGAGGAAGGGGCCCAGGAGCAGAUAGCCUCUGAGAUCAUACCCCUUGAUGCACCCAGAGGGGCUUGCUGAGCCACUAUGUAGCCCAGGCUAUGCUUGAAAUUGUGAUCCUUCUGCCUCAGCCUCCCAGAGUGCUUGGAUUACAGGUGUGUACCUCUGCAGUCAGUUUGUAACAUGGAC